rnacentral:rRNA from 1 species
UACGUAGGGUGCGAGCGUUAAUCGGAAUUACUGGGCGUAAAGCGUGCGCAGGCGGUUGUGCAAGACCGAUGUGAAAUCCCCGGGCUUAACCUGGGAAUGGCAUUGGUGACUGCACGGCUAGAGUGUGUCAGAGGGGGGUAGAAUUCCACGUGUAGCAGUGAAAUGCGUAGAGAUGUGGAGGAACACCGAUGGCGAAGGCAGCCCCCUGGGCUAACACUGACGCUCAUGCACGAAAGCGUGGGGAGCAAACAGG